rnacentral:rRNA from 1 species
AUGUCGCUAGUCAACGGCUUUAGUAUAUCUCAAGCAUUUUGUAGAUCCUUCUGGUUCCUAUUUCUAGUAGUAAGUUUCUUUGUCAUUGUAGGAUUUAGUAUGCCGAGGAAGGAUAGGCGGUCAGCUAUCGCAUACAUAAAUGAUGAGAAAGAGCAUGAUGUCACGUUCUUCAAGCGACGUGGCGGUUUGUUUAAGAGUGUUUCUGAACUCUCUGUCGUCACCGGCGCUAGGGUUGCUGUCGUCCUAGAGACGGAAAAUGAGAGGAUGCAUUCCUUUGGGACGCCAUCUAUUGACCCCAUUGCUGAUGGUUUUCUAUCAGGAGCACCACUAGCAGUUCCACUUGCCGAUGAGGCAACAACUACCAGAGUUGCCCAGCUACAAAGUGAGGUGGCUCGGCUUGAUAUGAAUUGCAUGAAGGAGUACAAGGAAAACCAACUCUCCAUCAAGCGUAUGAAACAAAUCCAAGAGCAGUGCCCAGGUAUGGCAGCAAACCUUAUCUUCUCGAAGGAAGAAGAUCUCAGCCCUGGAGAUCUCAACAAUCUAUCCAAUGAAGUCUCUCGUGUCCAUGAGGACAUUGGACAUCGACUGCCACAACUACAUCAUGGACACAAAGCCAUGACUGGUGGUGCAAGCAUGAUACAAAACAUGCUACCAUCAAGCGGUCCACCAUCGGAUCGCAUGAGGACUACCCCUUCACCAGUGCACUCACUAUGGGAUCACCAUCUUCUACAACACCAAAUGCCUUCAUCUCCACUUCCAUCACCACCAGGACACAUCGUGGCACCAGGUUUUCCUCAGAAUGAUGCAAACUCUAACUCAACAUCUACGUAUAAUUUGGAGGCCUCUCCACUGUUGGUCUACUCUCGUGGCAAUGAUUUUACCGUCAAUGGCCCAUUUGGCUAUGAAUCAUGGGGUUAUGCUCUAUUGGAUCAACCAUUCCGCAAUGAAUUUCUACAGACGGAUGCUUCCUUGGGCUAUAAUGCUGUCGAUGUAGGGCAGUCUUCCAUGGGAAAUGGUGGAUGGGUUGAUAAGCCACCGAAAUCUUCUUCUAGCUAG